UACGAAGGGGGCUAGCGUUGCUCGGAAUCACUGGGCGUAAAGGGUGCGUAGGCGGGUCUUUUAAGUCAGGGGUGAAAUCCUGGAGCUCAACUCCAGAACUGCCUUUGAUACUGAAGAUCUUGAGUUCGGGAGAGGUGAGUGGAACUGCGAGUGUAGAGGUGAAAUUCGUAGAUAUUCGCAAGAACACCAGUGGCGAAGGCGGCAUCCUGGACCGACAACUGACGCUGAGGCGCGAAAGCUAGGGGAGCAAACGGG
rnacentral:rRNA from 1 species